rnacentral:rRNA from 1 species
UGAGUAACCUGCCCUUAACUCUGGGAUAAGCCUGGGAAACUGGGUCUAAUACCGGAUAUGACUCCUCAUCGCAUGGGUGGGGGGUGGAAAGCUUUAUUGUUGGUUUUGGAUGGACUCGCGGCCUAUCAGCUUGUUGGUGAGGUAAUGGCUCACCAAGGCGACGACGGGUAGCCGGCCUGAGAGGGUGACCGGCCACACUGGGACUGAGACACGGCCCAGACCUCCGUACGGGAGGCAG